rnacentral:lncRNA from 1 species
AUGGGGACAACUUCAGUGGCAACGCUGAAAACAUGGAAGGGACUGCUCCCAAUUUCCACGGGGCUUGCAAGAACAAAGCUCUGGACAGCUCACGUUUCACCAGUCUACGUGUGUGACCAUAAAUCAACAUUAAAUGGUCCAUCCCCUGUGCCUUGCUGUGCACCAUGUUCCAUCCUCUCCCCACCACCCCAGGUAAUUCACCUGACCCUCAGAGGUCUACAGCUAUUCUUCCUGUUCCGCUUCUUGGCCACCACAAUCUAUCUCCCAUUCCUAGUGGAUAGAUUAUAUAUUACUUUCUGUGUGAACCCAUGGCUCCCUCUACAGGGAGUUUACCUGGUGUUAGACCUGGGCUCUCUCUUUGCAGGCAAGUGGGGUGAUGAUCCCUCUAUACAUUUAAAGUGCAACUGGGGCUCCAGUCCCAAGUUUCAGGGUUCAGCCUUAGUGUGGCCACUAAGUGCCUCUCAAUGAGACGAUUAUUCAGAAACUGAGCAAAAGACAUUUUUGGAUUUGGAGUAUUUUUACGGGGCCUUCGUACCAUCCAUCUUUGAUUGGCACAUGUGAUAAAUUUUUCCUAUUUUAAGGCAACAUAAACCUAUUUUUAUCAAAAGCAUGCUCAUGCAUGAUCAUUGGAACAAACUCAUAAAAAUAUGAUAAAAUUUUGAAUUAUUCAAAAGCACUUGGUAGAAAUAUCUUUUUUGUGUGUGUGACAGGCAGAGUUAAACAGUGAGAGAGAGAGAGAGAGAGACAGAGAGAAAGGUCUUCCUUCCAUUGAUUCACUCCCCAAAUGUCUGCUACAGCCGGUGCACAGUGCCUAUCCAAAGCCGGGAGCCAGGUGCUUCCUCCUGGUCUCCCAUGUGGGUGCAGGGCCCAAGCACUUGGGUCAUCCUCCACUGCACUCCCGGGCCACAGUAGAGAGCUGGACUGGAAGAGGAGCAACUGGGAGAGAAUCUGGUGCCCCAACUGGGACUAGAACCCGGUGUGCUGGCGCCACAGGUGGAGGAUUAGCCUAGUGAGCCACAGUACCAGCCAGCAGAAAUAUCUUUACAUUUCCACCCUGACCGAUUUUUUCUACGGAAAGGGUGUUUAUUUUUGUUUCUAUUCAAGCCCUAAUAGUCACCAAGCAUUUCUUGCUUCAGAUCUUGUUUUACUUGUCCUUUCUCUCUGUUAUAAAGUGGCUGAGGACUGGAGGUACUUGCUGUGGCACAGCUAUCAGUGUCUCACCUCUUCCAUAGAUUCUUCAUUACCACAGAGACUCUGCUGUAGUUCUCCAAUUCAUUCAAAUAGCAUGCAUCCCAGCUGCUUGGUGUCCCCUGUUCAGGUUAAUCGUAUGGUUGCUUUCCUUUCCUGAUGAAAAUGGCCAGUUGCCUAUAUUGCAUAGUCUGAAACCUGGACAGUCUACAGUAAUUUUUUGUUGCUGCUAAACCAUUUUUUCCAGAAGGUUUUCUAGCAAGAGGUGUGAACAUGACCC